rnacentral:lncRNA from 1 species
AUGUGUGUGUGUGUGGUGUGUGUGGUAUGUGUGUGUGUGGUGUGUGUGCGGUGUGUGUAUGUGUGUGUGGUGUGUGUAUGUGUGUGGUGUGUGUGUGGUAUGUGUGUGUGUGUGGUGUGUGUGUGUGUGUGGUGUAUGUGUGGUGUGUGUGUGGUGUAUGUGUGUGUGGUGUGUGUGUGUGUGGUGUGUGUGUGGUGUAUAUGUGUGUGUGGUUGUGUGUGUGUGUGGUGUAUGUGUGUGUGUGGUGUGUGGUGUGUGUGUGGUGUAUGUGUGUGUGUGGUGUAUGUGUGUGUGUGGUGUGUGUGUGGUGUAUGUGUGUGUGUGGUGUGUGUGGUGUGUGUAUGUGUGUGUGGUGUGUGUAUAUGUGUGUGUGUGGUGUGUAUGUGUGUGGUGUAUGUGGUGUGUGGGUGUGUGUGGUGUGUGUGGUGUGUGUGUGUGGUGUGUGUGUGUGGUGUGUGUGUAUGGUGUGUGUGGUGUGUGUGUGUGGUGUGUGUGGUGUGUGUGUGUGGUGUGUGUGUGUGUGUGUGUGUGGUGUGGUGUAUGUGUGUGGUGUGUGUGUGUGGUGUGUGUGUAUGUGUGUGUGUGGUGUGUGUGUGGUGUAUGUGUGUGUGUGGUGUGUGUGGUGUGUGUGUGGUGUGUGUGGUGUGUAUGUGUGUGUGUGUGUGUGGUGUGUGUGUGGUGUGUGUGUGGUGUGUGUGUGGUGUGUGUGGUGUAUGUGUGUGUGUGGUGUGUGUGUGGUGUGUGUGGUGUGUAUGUGUGUGUGUGUGUGUGUGUGUGCUCUGUGAUUUUUUGCUCUGCAUCCAGAAAGGACUUGAGGCAGCUAAGUGGGAUUUAAAGAAGAUUAAGCAUUUCGAGGGAGGGAGGCUGCAGCGGGCGAGCGUUGGUGUGAGAGCCCCACUAGGUCCUGGCAGGGAGAACCUGCCCUCUGUGCCCUGCAACAUCCCAAGCCCCGCCAUUGCCAGGGACAGUGGGUCUCACAGGGGAGACCACGGGCAGGCUAUGUCUCCAAAGAAGAUGCCGUUCGCAGAACAGCCCAGGACAAAACGGGCCUUGCCUUGCUGA